rnacentral:snRNA from 1 species
UUGCUUUGGUGGCACAUAUACUAAAAUUGGAAGGACACAGAGAUUAGCAUGGUCCCUGCACAAGAAUGCUAUACAAAUUUGUGAAGCAUUCCAUAUUGUU